GCUAACCCUAGGUGCUCAUCACUCCAGCACCUAUCGGCCGUCUACGAAACACAUCUCGUCUGUUCCGCCGCCACUCGUCUGUUCUCCCGCCGCCGCCACAACUUCCCCACUCUGCGUCCGCCUCCGCUCCUCCCCUCCAGAACUAGCCUCCCCCUUGCGCUCCUCGCCCCAGCCGCCUCCUUCCGUCCUCGUGUCUGAACACCGAACCAUUGUCCUGGCUCAGCCUCCUCUCCGCCCCACUACUAGCCAUCGCGACUGAGCUGCGUACAUGCUGCCGAUGAAAGCCUGCUACGAGGGGAUCCAGGGCCGGUGGCUCAUCCGGUUGUUGCCGGCCUCGCGUCCCUCAGAUCUGGCAGCCCCGGGCCUCCCCAGAUCUGAUUGGAUUUUUCUGGAUCUCUCAUCAUCUCCUUCCUCCUCCCCACGCGAGUGAUUGGAUCGUUCUGCUCAUGGUUUUUGUUGAAAUCGUGCAGGGGUAUGUGGCGUGGGAGUUUGUGAAUCAGGGAGUGCAGCCAGGGGAGCUCACCAUCAUCCCCUUCCUCCUCAUCUCUCUGCUGUAGUGAAUUCCAGAUUUAUUUUGCGGUGUUCCCCUUUGUAAUUCUAGUGGGUUGAAAUCUGCUACACAAGUUAAUUGAUUAAAAGGAGGAGACACAUGGGGGAAGAGAAAAGGAGGCAAUGGCCAAGAUAUCACAAUACAAAAGCCUAUGUGAUACAAUAGAGGUCCUCAUGCUGGUUGAGCGCAUAAACAAGAUGCACAUCCCCAUCCAUCUGAUGUCCUCAAAGUCAGGUACUAGCUGAAUGUAAGGUUGUUGUCAAGAGGAAUUUGUUGAGAGGAUCAUGGCUGCAUGCAAGCAAGCUGAUAUUUUGUUGUUAGAUGCUUAGAUGCUUGAAUUACUAGUAUGAUGUCAAGCGUUCAUAAGUUUUGGGGACCUGAUGUAGUCUCAGGCUGUAACUCUAUGUGUUUGUAAAAAAAAUUUGUGAAUAUCUGUCGGUUAUAUGUUGCAUAUUUGACUUCAUAUA